GCCGUGACCACGUGCCGGCCAUCGGCGCCCUCCUCGCCGCCUACAAGACCGACCCUGCGACCUCGGUCAAACCCUAGCCACUACCCCCCUCUCCCCCUCGCUCUCCUCCUCGAUCUGGAGAGGCACCCAACCCGGUCGUCGCCGUCGCCGCAUCGAUCCCGCGGCCACCGACCGCCUCUCAUCUCACCGGUGUGUCCAGGAGCUCCGUCGCGCCGCGCUCGUCCUCGUCAACUACUCCAUUCGCACCUGGAGGCCCCAAGAAGAUGCCACGAUCAACUUCCUCACCGUCACAGCCGCCGCACCUCGCCGUCGAUCCGCUACUCCGGGCCAUCCCCAACCCCUCUCGAGUUCGCCUGCGCCCUUCCCGAAAAUGAUACUUGGGAAAUCUCAUAAAGCUUCUAGAUUGCAGCCAUUGAACCAAUCAACCGAAGGGCUUAUGUAAGUUAUUACUGUAAAAUAAGUCUCAGUCCUGAGAAGAAUUCACUUUGAACACAUUUCUCUGAGACGGAUAGAACAAUCCUUGACAACCUAUGCGAGUAAGGAAAAAAUACUGUACUGAAAAGACCA